CGUCGUUUGAGGCGUUAGUUCAGCUGUCUGUUGAAUCCCCUGAAACUAAUGCUCAGUCUAUAUUAAUGUCUCAGUCCCGAGAAACCUCAGCCUAUUCUCUCCUAUAAUUAAUCUUGCAGGUAGUGCCUUGACAUUAUUGGUUCACCAACAGAGCAGAACUGCCUCAGCCAUCAAUAAUAAUUCAACGCAUUAGGAUGAGGCCUACGCAUGGGCCACAGAGGAUAUGUAAUGACUUAAGAUACCAACUCCACCUUCUGUGGUAAGAGAUGAAGAUCCAGGAAAUGUAUGGACAUCUAUAGCCUGAAGAAUAUUGUCAGAAAAAAACAGUGGGAUCUGGAAGCGAAAAGGAAACAUAGAAAAGGAGACAGGAAGGUGAAGAAAGUUGAAGAUAAACUUUCUUUUUCACAAUGUUUUUAUGGGCAAGUUCAGCCCAUAAAUCAAAAAUUAUCUUAUGGAUGAAAUAUUAGUG
rnacentral:lncRNA from 1 species